rnacentral:rRNA from 1 species
UACGUAGGGUGCGAGCGUUGUCCGGAAUUAUUGGGCGUAAAGGGCUCGUAGGCGGUUUGUCGCGUCGGGAGUGAAAACAUCGGGCUUAACUCGGUGCUUGCUUUCGAUACGGGCAGACUUGAGGCAUGCAGGGGAGAACGGAAUUCCUGGUGUAGCGGUGAAAUGCGCAGAUAUCAGGAGGAACACCGGUGGCGAAGGCGGUUCUCUGGGCAGUUCCUGACGCUGAGGCACGAAGGUCAGGGGAGCAAACGGG